rnacentral:rRNA from 1 species
AAGGCUAAAUACUCCCUAGUGACCGAUAGUGAACCAGUACCGUGAGGGAAAGGUGAAAAGAACCGCGGGUAGCGGAGUGAAAUAGAACCUGAAAUCGUCGAGUCCACAAACAGUCAGAGCACCAUGUUCGGAGUAAUCCGUUCAAGUGCGAUGGCGUACCUUUUGCAGAAUGAGCCUGCGAGUUAUUGGUGUUGGCAAGCCUAAGUGUUUCAGACAUGGAGGCGGAGGGAAACCGAGUCCGAAUAGGGCGUCAAGUCAGCAUCAGUAGACCCGAAACUGCGUGAUCUAGCCAUGGUCAGGUUGAAGUGAUGGUAACACAUCAUGGAGGACCGAACUCAUUGACGUUGAAAAGUCUCGGGAUGAACUGUGGUUAGUCCGGUGAAAUGCCAAUCGAACGCAGAGAUAGCUGGUUCUCCCCGAAAUGCAUUGAGGUGCAGCGUCUGGAAUUGUUUAAUGGGGGUAGAGCACUGAAUGGGCUAGGGGUCUUACCCGAUUACCGAACCCAACCAAACUCCGAAUACCAUUAAAUUGAGCCAGGCAGUGAGACGGCGAGUGAUAAGAUCCGUCGUCAAAAGGGAAACAACCCAGAUCGACAGCUAAGGGCCCUAAACGAUGACUAAGUGUGAAACGAUGUGAGAUCGCGUAAACAGCCAGGAGGUUGGCUUGGAAGCAGCCACCCUUUAAAAAGUGCGUAACAGCUUACUGGCCGAAUGUGAUCUUGCGCGGAUAAUGUAAGGGGGCUAAAGUCAUCUCCCGAAGCUUCGGGAUCAUCGCAAGAUGAUCGGUAGGGGAGCGUUGAGUGUGCUGUGAAGCUAUAGCGGAAGCAAUGGUGGAGCGCACGCAAGUGAGAAUGCAGGCAUGAGUAGUGAUAAGAAAGGUGAGAAUCCUUUCCGCCGAAAAUCUAAGGUUUCUCCGGCUAUGUUCGUCAGACGGAGGUUAGGCGGUCCCUAAGGUGAGGCCAGAAGGCGUAGCCGAUGGACAUCCAGUAGACAUUCUGGACCCAGUUAUAUGAGCCAAGGGAGGACGUUUCUCAAGAUCUGAUCCCGCACUGUUGGUAGUUGCGGGCUAGGCCGAAACCCUAGUUCCUGUUAAGGGAACUUUUCAAGUGGGCGGGGCCGGGGAAGGAAGCCCUUCGGGGUGACCGAACUCAGAUUGCGAGGGGCCUAGAAAAUUCCCGUAGCGUUAAUUGUAUAGCUGACCGUACUGCAAACCGACACAGGUAGAUGAGUCGAGGAGACUCAGGCGUUCGAGAGAACUCUCGUUAAGGAACUAGGCAAAUGAGCCCCGUACGUUCGCAAUAAGGGGCGCCCCGCAAGGGGCCGCAGCGAAGCAUCCAUGGCGACUGUUUACCAAAAACACAGGUCUCUGCUAAGGCGAAAGCCGAAGUAUAGGGGCUGACACCUGCCCAAUGCUCGUAGGUUAACAGGAGAUGUUAGGGAAACCGAAGCAUUGAAUCGAAGCCCGAGUGAAUGGCGGCCGUAACUCUAACGGUCCUAAGGUAGCGAAAUUCCUUGUCGGCUAAAUACCGACCCGCAUGAAAGGUGUAACGACUAUGGAACUGUCUC